AAAGAACUUUGAAGAGAGAGUUCAAGAGUACGUGAAACCGCCCAGAGGUAAACGGGUGGAUCCGCAAAGUCGGUCCGCGGAAUUCAGCGCGGCGCGCGGCCUGGGGUUUUUGCCGUCGUUCGGGAUCCCUCGUGAACCGACCUCUGGUAGCCUCGCCGGGCCCCGCCACAGUGCACCUUUCCGCGGGCGGAGAGCCACAACCGGUUCGGCGCGCGCUUGCUAAGCGGCGACAGGCCGGGAGGGUUGUAGGUGGGGGCGCUCGCCGUCCCCACCAGCCUUCCCCGGUUAGCCGCCGCCGGACCGAGGGACCGCCGCGCGCUUCGAGGCCACCCUCCCCUCCGGGCGAGUUCCACUGAUAGAGACUGGGCAACCGUGUCUCCCGACCGCUCGCCCGCGAUCGGCGCCGGGGCUGGCCGGGCGCGCCUGCCAAAGUGUGGGUUUGUGGCAAAUCUGUCGGCAUUCCACCCGACCCGUCUUGAAACACGGACCAAGGAGUCUAACAUGCGCGCGAGUCAUUGGGCGGUACGAAACCCAAAGGCGCAGUGAAAGCGAGGGCCGUCUCCGAGCGGCCCAGGUGGGAUCCUCUCCUCCCUCGGAGCGAUCCGGCGAGAGGGGUGGC
rnacentral:rRNA from 1 species